rnacentral:misc_RNA from 1 species
GAUGAAGAACGUAGUGAAAUGCGAUAAGUAGUGUGAAUUGCAGAAUUCAGUGAAUCAUCGAAUCUUUGAACGCACAUUGCGCCCCCCAGUAUUCUGGCGGGCAUGCCUGUUCGAGCGUCAUUUCAACCAUCAAGCCCUGCUUGUGUUGGGGUCCUGCGGCUGCCCGCAGGCCCUGAAAACCAGUGGCGGGCUCGCUAGUCACACCGAGCGCAGUAGCACAUCUCGCUCAGGGCGUGCGGCGGGCUCCAGCCGUUAAAGCACCCACCUUUCGCAAGGUUGACCUCGGAUCAGGUAGGAAUACCCGCUGAACUUAAGCAUAUCAAUAAGCGGAGGA